AACCAUAGAAACCUGCGGAGUACCUGCGGAGGGAUCAUUACAGAGUUCAUGCCCUCACGGGUAGAUCUCCCACCCUUGAAUACUAUACCUUUGUUGCUUUGGCGGGCCGCUUUGGCUACUGGCUCUGGCUAGUAAGUGCCCGCCAAAGAACCCCAAAACUCUGAAUAUUAGUGUCGUCUGAGUACUAUAUAAUAGUUAAAACUUUUAACAAUGGAUCU
rnacentral:misc_RNA from 1 species